AAAAAAAAAAAAAAAAAACCAACACAAAGCGCCGUAGAUAAAGUCUGAAAAGAUUAUUCAUAGGUUCUUCAAACGUUGCCAGUGCGUUGGUAAGACCGAAUGACAUGACUAGGAACUCAUAGUGACCUGAGAAUGUUCGAAAUGCCGUUUUAGGAAUUUCAUCCCUGUUAACUUUGAUUUGAUGGUAACCUGAACGAAGAUCUAUCUUCGAAAAAAAUUUGGCCCCAUAUAAUUCAUCCAACAAUUCUUGAAUUACUGGAAUUGGAUACUUGUGAGGAAUUGUUACUUUGUUCAAUGCCCUAUAAUCCACACAAAAUCUCCAACUUCCAUCUUUCUUGCGAACCAAGAAGAUAGGGCUAGAGAAUGGGCUUGAAGUAGGCUAGAUAAUUCCUGCCAUUCACAUGACCUCUAUUAACUUCUCAAUCUCAUUAUUUUGCCAAUGGCUGUAUCAAUAAGGCUUGACACUCACCGAAGCAAUUCCAGGUUGCAGAGGAAUGUUAUGGUCCGUUUCCCUAUUAGGAGGAGGGGAAGUAGGCUCAUGGAACACAAAGUGAAAUUGCUCCAUUAAUACUUGCAAUUGAUCCAGUUUGUCUGCAUCCAAAUUUAAUUCCAUCAAUCGAAGCUCUAAUUCUGAAGUGGAUUCCCAUAUCAAGGCCUAGUACUCAACGUGCUCUAAUUUCUCAAUGGAAGCAACUUAAACUCCUGCACGGGUUAAAGAUGGAUCCCCUAAAAGAGUCCCUACCCUUGUAGUUAAAUGUCAUAGUCAUCUUAGCCCAAUUAACCUUCACAUCCCUGAGUGUUUCCAACCAUGCAAUGCCCAAUAUCAUAUCCACUCCUCCCAAAGGAAAUAUAUAAUAGUUAGUCUGUAUUUUAAAUUUUCCCAAUUGAAACAACAAGUCAGAACACUUACCCGAUGAUUGAGCUUUAUGGCCAUCACCCAACUUUACACCAAAAAGGGGGUCAAUUGCACUGAUAAUUGUAGUUGGGAGCUCAAUUUAACAGCAAUAAAAUUGUGGCUAACCCCUAAUGAGGUCACGUCCCUUUAAUCGACCUCGUACCUUCAUUGUUCGCUGGCCAAUGAUUCCCCCUACUGAAAAUAAGGGCAAUUCCAACUGGGUAAUCUGACCGUCAGCCACUUCCAUUGUUUCUUGCUUAGUAUUCUCUCCCAAUUCCUCCUCAUCCUUCGACGCUUCUUCAUCCUCACCUACUGUUAGGACCCGUAAUGUCUUCUUUGGACAUUCAUGUAUCGGAUGGUAAGGCUGCUUACAACGAUAGCACAACCCCUGUGCCCUCAAAUCCACAAACUUCUAAUGCCUUAAAUGUCUUGGUCCUCGAUUUUUAUUUGCACCUUGAUUUGGAGCACACUGGAUAGUAGCAGAUGGAGCUGGUAGAUGAGGUAUCUCCCUUGAGCCAUUAUCCCAUGUUAGACCUUGGUUCUUGUCUUUUGCUGCCCGAGCCCAAGUACUACUAGUUUUGGCUGUUGGUUGGACCGGCUUAAAGGUGCCCAUAUUGUUAACUCUAUUCCUUGGCUCAUGUCAAUAUGUCCAAUGUCCAUCUUCCUCCUGUCUUAGCCAGUAUACUUACUGCAGUUGUUCCAGAACCAAAAUGCAUGAGCUCUCUUUCCAUGUCUCUUGCCAAGUUCAUCGUUUGAAAUAUAUCAACAGUGUCUCGAACCCUGAUCUUGACUCUAGUGUCUGCCUUAAGGCCUUUAAGGAAGAAACCUAUGUACUAUUAGUCCACCAUUCCCUUCACUUAAGCAGCUCUAGCUACAAACUCAUCAAUAUACUUGUCAAUAGUUCCCUCCUAUUGCAUGGCUGCCAAUCUUUUUUACAGGCUGGCAAAAGCAUCCCUACCCAAUCUCUAUAACAAUUCUAGAGACAAUUGUUCCGAUGUUAAGUUUGGUGUUCUUUGUUUUAGCCAUUGAACCCAAUGUAACGCCCCUCCUUUUGUGCAAACUAGAGCCCUGGGAACCUUCAUAUCGACAGGGGUGCAGUGUACUGAGAAGUACUGAUCUGCUCUUGCUAACCACCCAACAACAUCCUCUCCAUCAAAGCUAGGUAACUCCACCUUCUUAGCUGUUAACUGCAAUUUAUCAACCAUUGGUGGCAGAGUGUUGUGCUGGCCCGAUAAGGAACCCUGCAUGGCAAAGUUUAUUGGAGUCGCCAACACCCCUUCUGAUUGUCCCUCAUGCAACUUUCCUUUUAACACCUGGGCUAACAUUCCUUCGAUAGCAUCUAGUUUUACCAGCUUCUUCCUCGUUUGCAACAUCUCUUCCCACAUUCCAUUCAUUUUUAGAUCAUUUUGUUCUUUUUAACUAUUCAUUUUCAUCAUUCCUUCUUCCAACAAAUUCACACUGCUCUCUAUCGUUUCAAACUUAGUAUCCAUCCUCCUGUUUGGAAUUCACGGCAAUUUUUGGAUCCAUGUCAGAACAAUUUGAUAGAGUGAGGAUUAUGAAAUAGAAUUAAAACUAAAAAAAAAAAAAAAAAAAAUAA
rnacentral:misc_RNA from 1 species